ACUCCUACGGGAGGCAGCAGUUGGGAAUCUUGGACAAUGGGGGAAACCCUGAUCCAGCCAUGCCGCGUGAGUGAUGAAGGCCUUCGGGUUGUAAAACUCUUUCGACGGGGACGAUAAUGACGGUACCCGUAGAAGAAGCUCCGGCUAACUUCGUGCCAGCAGCCGCGGUAAUACGAAGGGGGCUAGCGUUGUUCGGAAUUACUGGGCGUAAAGCGCGCGCAGGCGGUUUUCCAAGUCAGUGGUGAAAGCCCGGAGCUCAACUCCGGAAAUGCCAUUGAAACUGUAAAACUUGAGGACGAGAGAGGUGAGUGGAAUUCCCAGUGUAGAGGUGAAAUUCGUAGAUAUUGGGAAGAACACCGGUGGCGAAGGCGGCUCACUGGCUCGUUUCUGACGCUCAGGCGCGAUAGCGUGGGGAUCAAACAGGAUUAGAUACCCUGGUAGUCCACGCCGUAAACGAUGGAUGCUAGCCGUUGGAUAGCUUGCUAUUCAGUGGCGCAGCUAACGCAUUAAGCAUCCCGCCUGGGGAGUACGGCCGCAAGGUUGAAACUUAAAGGAAUUGACGG
rnacentral:rRNA from 1 species